AACCUUAGGGUUCUAUACUUGGCCAGUAGAACCUUUUACCCAAAAAAUGGUUCCAUUUAGAACCCUUUGACUGCAAAGAACCUUUUUGAUUAAAAUGGUUCUAUAAUUUUUGAAUCAUAACAUAAUUAUGUAGUAAAGAUUAUAAAAUAAUUAUAAGUUAUAACACAGAGAGACAAAGCUUUUUGAGUCAAAACCUAAUAAAAUGAAUGCUGUGGUCAAAAACUUAAUCAGUGUACAUUAUGAUGGGAUUUUUUUAUGCAGGUUUGUACAAUAGCAUAUAACUUAUAGGCCUAGUUUAUGUUUAACAUUUUUGACAAAUUAUUUUGUGAAAUAAAUAAAAUGACCAAUUUAUUUAGACUGUGCAGUAACAUGUUGUUAUGGUUUAAUAAUUUAUUUGAAACUAAUAAUCAUAAAAAAAGCCCUCUGGUGACGUCAGUCAUCAGUCAAGGACAUCGUCAUGGACCAGUGGUGAAGAGCCUUGAGAGAAGGUUAAUUUUUCGAAAGGAGAAGUCCACUAUUUCAGCUUCAUCAUUCAGCCUGGAAACUGAACUGCAUCAUAAAACUUGUGCUUGAAAAGUGUCAUGGGACCCAUAUUAAGUUUCCAAAUUUGAUCUGCUGCACACAAGUAGCUUUGAAGAAGAAGGAUCCCAGCUUAAAGAAAAACACGUCACAUCCAUAAUUGUUUGACAUCAUCUUCAAGCACACCUGAUUGUGAUGGACCUAGAAUGCGACACCAUUUACGAAUAAGUCAAGAACCAAAUGAAACACUAUUUUCCAGAGCGCAGAUUAUGGAGGGGUCUGCAAAACUAAUGGAGCAGUUUCUUCUUCUUGGAGUGCCACAGCUUGAUGCUGCAUAUAAGGACUUGGUGAAGAACACAGAAACAUCUUUAAAAGAAAUGGCCCAAUAGAAGGGAAGGAAAGAAGGAAGUACUCAGCAUUGAAAUAUUGUUUUACAGAAAUCCAAAGGUCCUAACAGCUCUCCUGAUUCCGUCAAGGCUUGAAGUGUCAGCAUUACGAUGGCCAACAAUCGCUCACUAUCCUUCUGCUCCCUCAUUUAUCAGAGGCACCACAGUAGAAUGAAUUAGCAAUUACUCUUCACUUUCCAGCCGCAACCCAGCACUGGGAAACACCCAUACACUUUCUCAUACACCUGCACACAUUCACUCACUGUGGCCAAUUCACCAAUACCGUACGCAUGCCUUUGGACUGUGGGGGCAACUGGAGCACCCAGAGGAAACCCACACAAACACUG